rnacentral:rRNA from 1 species
CCCUAGUAACGGCGAGUGAAGCGGCAACAGCUCAAAUUUGAAAUCUGGCCUCGGCCCGAGUUGUAAUUUGCAGAGGAUGUUUCUGGCGCGGUGCCUUCCGAGUUCCCUGGAACGGGACGCCAAAGAGGGUGAGAGCCCCGUAUGGUCGGACACCAAGCCUGUGUGAAACUCCUUCGACGAGUCGAGUAGUUUGGGAAUGCUGCUCUAAAUGGGAGGUAAAUCUCUUCUAAAGCUAAAUACCGGCCAGAGACCGAUAGCGCACAAGUAGAGUGAUCGAAAGAUGAAAAGCACCUUGAAAAGGGGGUUAAAUAGUACGUGAAAUUGUUGAAAGGGAAGCACUUAUGACCAGACUUGGGCCGGGCGGCUCAUCAGGGGUUCUCCCCUGUGCACUCCGCCCGGCACAGGCCAGCAUCGGUUCUCGUGGGGGGAUAAGACCGUCAGGAACGUAGCACCCUCCGGGGUGUGUUAUAGCCUGGCGGACGAUACCCUCGUGGGGACCGAGGUUCGCGCUCCGCAAGGAUGCUGGCGUAAUGGUCAUCAGUGACCCGUCUUGAAACACGGACCAAGGAGUCGUCCAUUAGAGCGAGCGUUUGGGUGUAAAACCCGCACGCGUAAUGAAAGUGAACGCAGGUGAGAGCUUCGGCGCAUCAUCGACCGAUCCUGAUGUUCUCGGAAGGAUUUGAGUAAGAGUUUUAACGGACGGACCCGAAAGACAGUGAACUAUGCUUGUAUAGGGUGAAGCCAGAGGAAACUCUGGUGGAGGCUCGCAGCGGUUCUGACGUGCAAAUCGAUCGUCAAAUAUGAGCAUGGGGGCGAAAGACUAAUCGAAC